rnacentral:rRNA from 1 species
GGGUGCGAUCAUACCAGCACUAAUGCAACGAAUCCCAUCAGAACUCCGCAAGUAAGCGUGCUUGGGCGAGAGUUUCUAGGAUGGGUGACCUCCUGGGAAGUCCUCGUGUUGUACCCC